UGGGCGUAAGCGCGCGCAGGCGGUUUCUUAAGUCUGAUGUGAAAGCCCCCGGCUCAACCGGGGAGGGUCAUUGGAAACUGGGAAACUUGAGUGCAGAAGAGGAAAGUGGAAUUCCAAGUGUAGCGGUGAAAUGCGUAGAGAUUUGGAGGAACACCAGUGGCGAAGGCGACUUUCUGGUCUGUAACUGACGCUGAGGCGCGAAAGCGUGGGGAGCAAACAGGAUUAGAUACCCUGGUAGUCCACGCUGUAAACGAUGAGUGCUAAGUGUUAGAGGGUUUCCGCCCUUUAGUGCUGAAGUUAACGCAUUAAGCACUCCGCCUGGGGAGUACGGUCGCAAGACUGAAACUCAAAGGAAUUGACGGGGGCCCGCACAAGUGGUGGAGCAUGUGGUUUAAUUCGAAGCAACGCGAAGAACCUUACCAGGUCUUGACAUCCUCUGACAACCCUAGAGAUAGGGCUUUCCCUUCGGGGACAGAGUGACAGGUGGUGCAUGGUUGUCGUCAGCUCGUGUCGUGAGAUGUUGGGUUAAGUCCCGCAACGAGCGCAACCCUUGAUC
rnacentral:rRNA from 2 species